GACGAACGCUGGCGGCGUGCUUAACACAUGCAAGUCGAACGGAAAAGCCCUGCUUUUGUUGGGUGCUCGAGUGGCGAACGGGUGAGUAACACGUGAGUAACCUGCCUUCGACUUUGGGAUAACUUCAGGAAACUGGGGCUAAUACCGGAUAUUAGCUCCUCCUGCCUUGUGGGGGGUGGAAAGUUUCUGCGGUUGGGGAUGGACUCCCGGCUUGUUAGCUUGUUGGUGGGGUAGUGGCUUACUACGACUUUGACGGGUAGCCGGCCUGCGGGGGUGACGAGCCAGAUAGGGACUGGAAUACGGCCGGGGCUCGUACGGGAGACAGCAGUGGAGAAGGUGGCACAAUGGGCGGAAGCCGGAGCGAGAGACGCCGAGGGCUGGGUGACGGCAUUCGGGUUGGAAACCGCUUUCGCCUGUGACGAAGCGUGAGUGACGGUAAUGGGUAAAGAAGCACCGGCUAACUACGUG
rnacentral:rRNA from 1 species